UGUGGUGAUUAUUGUUAUCUUUCAUCAUGUGCAAAUUCCAUGGCAUAGGUGCAACAUAUGAAAACUAAUGAUGCUUGGUGUAGCAUGGAAUGAUAAUUGCAAUUGUACAGUUCUGUGCACUACAUUGUCUGAUGUUACAAGGCUGCAGCUAGAUAUUGUUCAUGCUAUGGCUAGAUAAUUGGCAUCCUAUGGUAUAUUGUUGGAAAGCUGAAGCUAAAGCAAAUUUUUCAGCCUCCCAUUAUUGCCUCAGCUUUGGCUAUCAUCAUUGGCGCUAUACCAUUUUUGAAGAACUUCAUCUUGACUGAUGAUGCCCCGCUAUUCUUCUUCACUGACAACUGCCUUAUUCUUGGGGAAGCGAUGAUCCCAUGUAUUUUGCUUGCUCUGGGUGGAAAUCUUGUGGAUGGCUCUGGCCCAGGCAGUAAAAGACUUGGUUUACGAACAACUGCUGCUAUCAUAUUUGGAAGAUUGGUUUUGGUUCCUCCUACAGGACUUGGAAUAAUCACCAUUGCUGACAAGCUUGGACUUUUUCCCAGGGGCGACAAAAUGUUCAAAUUUGUCCUGCUGCUGCAGCACACUAUGCCAGAAAGAUAUGGAAAAGAUAAUGACCAUACCCAGAAAGGAGAAGAAAAGAGAAGCUAGGAGGGAGAAGAAAGCACAGGGUGUUUAGAAAGCAUAUAUAAACUCUGCAUAAUACCUCAGGGAAAAGGCUACAG